UACCAGCACCCCGAGUGGUCGGGACGAUUAUUGGGCCUAAAGCAUCCGUAGCCGGUUUUACAAGUCCCCCGUUAAAUCCAACUGCUUAACAGAUGGGCCGCGGAGGAUACUAUAAGACUAGGAGGCAGGAGAGGCAAGCGGUACUCAGUGGGUAGGGGUAAAAUCCGUUGAUCCAUUGAAGACCACCAGUGGCGAAGGCGACUACCUGGCCUGUUCUUGACGCUGAGGCGCGAAAGCUAGGGGAGCAAACGGG
rnacentral:rRNA from 1 species